rnacentral:rRNA from 1 species
AGUUGGUAGGGUAGCGGCCUACCAAGGCAACGAUCAGUAGCCGGCCUGAGAGGGUGGACGGCCACACUGGGACUGAGAACGGCCCAGACUCCUACGGGAGGCAGCAGUGGGGAAUAUUGCGCAAUGGGGGAAACCCUGACGCAGCGACGCCGCGUGAGCGAAGAAGGCCUUCGGGUUGUAAAGCUCUGUUGUAAGGGACGAAAGAUCAAGGGAGUAACUGCCCUUGAAGUGACGGUACCUUACCAGCAAGCCCCGGCUAACUACGUGCCAGCAGCCGCGGUAAGACGUAGGGGGCGAGCGUUGUCCGGAAUUACUGGGCGUAAAGAGCACGUAGGCGGAUGUAUAAGUCAGGUGUGAAAGACCGCAGCCUAACUGCGGGGUUGCACUUGAAACUGUAUAUCUUGAGGGCAGGAGAGGUUAGUAGAAUUCCUGGUGUAGCGGUGAAAUGCGUAGAAAUCAGGAGGAAUACCAGUGGCGAAGGCGACUGACUGGACUGACCCUGACGCUGAGGUGCGAAAGCGUGGGUAGCAAACAGGAUUAGAUACCCUGGUAGUCCACGCCGUAAACGAUGGAUACUAGGUGUGGGAGGUAUCG